UAACAAAAAAAAAUGAGAGGAAGGAAAAGGAAGCUGCUUUCCUGGCAGAAAGCAGCCUAACAGCCCCCUAAUUCUUCCUAGAUUAAAUCGCAAUAUGAAUACAGCAUCGAACAAAUACCGAGUUUCGCUCUGAACUCAGUGGAAAGCAGUUACGUCUAACAGAAUUCAAUGAAUUCCUCUUCUCCCUCAAUGUAGUAUGUGUGUGUUUUUCUCUUCCACCACACUGAAGUUCCAUGAAUAGGGAAAGUGGCUCCUAUUGUGUGCCUCUGAACUUCCAAGUCAAUGCAAUUUUUAACCACUGGCUUGUGGUACUUUGAAAAUCACCAGGGGCUGUCAGAGUUGGGUCCUCUGAAAAAUUUACAGUGCUAAAUCAGAGCAUAUGCUGGGAGAGAGGGAAGAAAAAAAUUGCUUAAGAUUGGAGCAAGUACAGUAUCUGUCUGCCCCCUAGUGUAAGUCUCUUAUCUGCCUAAAAUUCAACUUUAAAAGAAAAGGAUCUCUUAAAGGGAAACGACUUUUGGCUCACGUAUGCAUUCGAGAAUGAAACUUCUGUACAUUUUAAUCUGAUUAAUUCCUAAGGAUUUAAAAUUAAUUGGCUCGGGCACUGCUAGACCGGACUGUAAGAUUUCUGCAGCGGGCUUUCCUCGAGCCCUGUGCCGAAUAGGUAUUUUUAAAGAACAGCGGUAAGAGAGAAGGGGGGAUCCUUUUCUGUGAUUUUUUUACAUAAAAUGAGGACCCGCGCCUCGCAUGCUGCUACCAGAGCAAAACACUUCUUUUAAAAAUUAUUACUAUUGCCGCUGAAACUCCGACCGACGCCUCUCGCAAUAACAAUAUUAAUCCCGCUAAUGGCAAUGAUAAUCAUAAAAGGAUAAGCAAUUGCCUCGGAGCCGGAGUGCCAACCCCACCUCCGCAGGGAGGCAGAAACACGGGAGCUGCUGAGAGAGGUGGGAGCUGUUGAGCAAAGACAUAUAGAGAAACGCAGCUCUAUGUUGGCUUGGCAGCUCCCGUUGGAUGGACAAGACACUACCUACUUCCCAGGAAACCCCUGCAGCGUUCAGCAACCCCCCUUGGCGAUGAACCUUAGCCAAACGGGACACCCGAUGCCUUCCCCUUGGACUCCGAGAAGCUGCUGCUA